rnacentral:misc_RNA from 1 species
UCUCCGUUGGUGAACCAGCGGAGGGAUCAUUACCGAGUUUACAACUCCCAAACCCCUGUGAACAUACCAUUUGUUGCCUCGGCGGUGCCUGCUUCGGCAGCCCGCUAGAGGACCCAAACCCUUGAUUUUAUACAGUAUCUUCUGAGUAAAUGAUUAAAUAAAUCAAAACUUUCAACAACGGAUCUCUUGGUUCUG